rnacentral:rRNA from 1 species
AUUGAACGCUGGCGGCAUGCCUUACACAUGCAAGUCGAACGGCAGCACGGGAGCAAUCCUGGUGGCGAGUGGCGAACGGGUGAGUAAUGUAUCGGAACGUACCUUUCAGUGGGGGAUAACGUAGCGAAAGUUACGCUAAUACCGCAUAUUCUGUGAGCAGGAAAGCAGGGGAUCGCAAGACCUUGCGCUGAUUGAGCGGCCGAUAUCAGAUUAGCUAGUUGGUGAGGUAAAGGCUCACCAAGGCGACGAUCUGUAGCGGGUCUGAGAGGAUGAUCCGCCACACUGGAACUGAGACACGGUCCAGACUCCUACGGGAGGCAGCAGUGGGGAAUUUUGGACAAUGGGCGCAAGCCUGAUCCAGCAAUGCCGCGUGCGGGAAGAAGGCCUCGGUUGUAA